UGAACGAACGUCAUUGAGUGCAGCGUUGAUGUAAUUUACUUUGUUUUUCCUCACUGUUGAAUAAAGUUAAAGUAAUUUACACCAGCGUUGCGCUCAAUUGUGUUUUUC
rnacentral:pre_miRNA from 1 species